UAGACCGUGUUGAGAGACUUCUAAUGAUAAGCACUUGUCAUGCAGGUAUUUGUGAUAAAAGACUCCUCAAAGAUUCCCAUCCAACGUCUGCUGAAAGAUCACCAAAGAUGGACAAUCCAUCAUCUUCCCAUUCAAUCUAUUCCAUUAUCAAACAGGUCUUACCACAAAUAAGCUUUUCCUAACAUCUAAGUGGAAUCAGUUACAGUGAGAUAUGGAAAUGAUCGAAGAUAAAAGGCGAUCUUUCCUUGUGGCCUCUCUGACAAUUCAAAGCCAGAGCCUUCAACAGUCCCAGCAUCAUCAGAGCCUUCAAGAUUUCCCACAUCAACAUUGCUUUGGUCAGCCUGCAUAAACCCAAAUCCCCCUUCAUCAUCAGACUGAACCAGAACACAUCUUGACAGUCAGAAUGGAAGCAAUUGCCUAAAGAGACCUCGAGGACUUCUUCUCCAGAUGUCUUCAGAAAGAACUUGGACAAUUACGUGAGAGAGAUGAUCUACUUGGAAUUCCCACAUUGAGUGAACUUGAAUUUGGCAGCACAUGUGAUCAUAUCCAACUCUGUGAUUCUAUUAUUCCGAUUAUAUGAAAAACCCGUGUCCAACAACAUACAUCAGAGUUGUGUUGCAUAAAUUUAUGCAUGCAGAACUGAGUGUUGGUCUAUGCAACUCUUUCACUGAAUGGCAACGUUACAUAUGCCCAUCAACAUGGCCACUAACGUGGGCUGGUCCAUGAGGUCACGAAGAGUCGGAAGUGACUGAAUGAAUAAACAACAACAUGGCUACUAACAUGUGCAGGACAGGCACAAUGGCACUGAACACACAGCCCUAUUUCCUUCAUCUCGAAAUGAAUGAGCACACUCCGCAUCAGACCAAAAUACCCAAAGAAUAUAACACAUCCAUAAGGUACCAACAGGCUCCUAGCUUCUGUGUUUCAACUGCCAUCUGUUCUGGGGAUAAAACGAUGUCAGAACGGGACCCGAAAAUAUGACCUUUUUUGAGGAAAAGGAGUGAUGUGAGAUGGAUGUGAGAACUGUGGGAGGGUUACAGAAAGAACCGUUUGAAGCUCUGAUUAUGCAGAGUUUCCUCUCUCUGCUGCCGUGGUCUUGCGGCCAAUCCUUAAUGAUUAAUUUAAAUUGGCAUUUUUGCUGGCCAUGUAGUCUGUCUGGUUGCGUUCCUCUUUGCAGACCAAUUGGUGCUAUUAUGUGAUGGAUAGCUGGAGAAGCAAGGAGGCAAGAAUGAUAUCCCCCACAAUUAGGCACAUGGCUUGGUCCAGACAGGGCCCUAAAUCUUUAAAAGAGAGUUAAUUUCUUGCUAAUGUGGAAACAGAAACAAUUUAUAGACUUUGCAUGGCUCAAGAUAAAGAGACGGGGGUUACAUCUACACUCUAGAAUGAAUGCAGUUUAACACCACUUUAACGGCCAUGACUCAAUGCUAUGGAAGUUGUAGUUGGUGAAGUACCAGCACUAUUUGCUUCAGAAGCCGCAAAGCCUUUUAAAGCUACAAUUCUCAAGAUUCCAUAAGAUGGAGUGAUUGCAGUUAAAGUGGAGUCAAACUGCAUUAGUUCUAUAGUGUAGAUGCACUCUGUAUCCUUCACUGGUAUUGUUAAUAUUCCUUGAGGAGAGCAUUUUGGGUUAUAUUGUAUUACUGUUUUAUCUUUUUAUAGUGCGAUUUGCAUUAUGUUGCCUAUGUUUUGUCCUAUGUUGUUUGGGCCUCUGCCCCAUGUAAGCCGCCCCGAGUCCUCGCGGGGAAAUGGUGGCGGGGUAUAAAUAAAGUUUUAUUAUUAUUAUUAUGUAUUAUUUUAUGUUUAGAGAAGAGACUGAAAGAAGGAAAGCUAAACAGGGAGUGCCCUGUGUUGGGGUUUGUAAAAGACACCACGGUUUAAUGGGUUAACUGGAAGAAUAUGUGUAAGCAGUUGAUUGGCUGAGCCUAUGAAGAGCUAGCAAACUGGUAGAUUAUGUGUCAGCAGCUGAUUGGCCGAGCCUGUGAAAAGCUGGCAAAUCUGAUUGGCUGUUUUCUUUGCCAAGCUACUGAGAGAACCGGUUUGUGCAGCUUUUACCUCGGUGAGUGAUAGUGAUUGAAAGAGAGUGCUGACUGGAAACAGCCAGGAAAGAAGAUGGCUGCCAACUCCCUAAAGCCUUAUUGUUUCUAAGGCAUUGAGGCAUAUUUAAGGACUAUUUAAAAGGACUGUUUAUUCCCUCUAUUCUCUGUGAAUAAUCAGAGCGACUAUUGUAUAUAUUAUUGCUCUGUUUGAGUAAUAGUUGAGUAAAGUUCCUGUUACUUCUUUCACAAGCCUGAGUGGCGCAUUAUUACACUGCAGGGUGACUUUGGUUCAGAAGCAGAUGGAAAAGCUUCCAUUUAUUACCAUCUACAAUACGCAACACCCUGGAUAGGACCUGGAUGGGAGACCACAGAGGAAUACCAAGUUCUCAAUGAAGCCAGAAUCUUUCUUAUAGGUAUAACGGACUCAACUUUCGAUAAAAAUCAAGAUAACCGGAGGCCGGGUUGUGGCGCAGCUGGCUAGUAACCAGCUGCUAUAAAUCACUACUGACCGAGAGGUCAUGAGUUCGAAGCCCGGGUCGGGUUAAGCCUCCGACCAUUAAAAAAAAUAGCCCCGGCUUGCUGUUGACCUAGCAGCCCCGAAAGACAGUUGCAUCUGUCAAGUAGGGAAAAUUUAGGUACGCUUUAUGCGGGAGGCUAAUUUAACUAAUCUACAACACCAUAAAACUGCUCACGAGGAAAAGAAUGAGGAAGAACAGCCACCAAUGGACGGUGAAGCAACAGCUCCCCCUGUGGCCGGAAUCGUGAACCUGGAAAGAUGUUAAAAUGCCUCUGUGUCUGUCUAAAACUGAAUGUUGUUUGUCUGUUGGCAUUGAAUGUUUGCCAUAUAUGUGUUCAUUGUAAUCCGCCCUGAGUCCCCUUCGGGGUGAGAAGGGCGUAAUAUAAAUACUGUAAAUAAAUAAAUAAAUAAAUAAAUAAAUAAUUUACAUAUAUUACUACAGUAGGCAGGAUAGAAUAUGCAAAAAAUGGAAAAUAAAAUAAAUACCUAAUGUGGAUGAUUGGAUUAAUAAAAUUACAGAUAUUAUGAAUAUGGAUAUUUUAACAUACCUGUAAAGAAGUGUAUGAUUUUAUUUUGUUUAUAGAUGACAUGUUUAUUUAAUUUUGUUUAAACAGUCAGGUUUAGUUAAGUUUAAAAUGGUAAGUAUUAGAGCUGAUGAUGCCAGAGGGUGACCAGCUCAGCAUGGUGAGACAGGUUACCAUGACAACGGGGGCGGAGCCAACCGCCGUUUGGAGAAGAGAAGAGGGAAUGUUUGAAAACCCAGUUUCAGUCUGUGAUUUCUAGUCAUAGGGAACGGACUGGUUCCAAGUUUAAGGAAACCAGGGAAGUUUGGAUCUUAGUCUGUGAUUUUUAGCCACAGGGAACAGACUGGUUUCAGGUUAAGGAAACCAGGGAGGCAGACCUCUAUUAGGCCAGACUAAGCAAGUUAGGUGACUUGUUUAGGGUUAUUUAUAGAGGCUGUGGAUUAGGGGAAGUUAAUCCCAGUGGAUCCAAGAGGAUCAGGUUCUAGUUAGUUUUGGAGAAAGAAGUAUUUUGAAAGUUGUAACACCUCACAUCUAUUUGUAACCGUUAAUCUAAGUGCCUUUAAGAAGUUAUUGAAACCACUAAGCUCUGUACAUGCAAUAAACUUGUUUUGAUUUUUAUUCCA